CAGCAGCGCGGUAAUUCCAGCUCCAACAGUGUAUGCUAAAGUUGUUGCGGUUGAAAAGCUCGUAGUUGGAUCUUGGGUGGGUGUCGUCGGUCCGUCGCAAGGCGUGUUACUGGCGGCGCCUGCCUCGUCUUCGGUUCUUCGUCGGUGCUCUUGACUGAGUGUCGGCGGUGGCCGAAAAGUUUACUUUGAAAAAAUUAGAGUGUUCAAAGCAGGCUGCUCGCCUGCAUAGUGUUGCAUGGAAUAAUGGAAUAGGACCUCGGUUCUAUUUUGUUGGUUUUCGGAGCGCGAGGUAAUGAUUAAGAGGGACAGACGGGGGCGUCCGUACUCUGCCGUUAGAGGUGAAAUUCUUGGAUCGGCGGAAGACGAACUACUGCGAAAGCAUUCGCCAAGAAUGUUUUCUUUAAUCAAGAGCGAAAGUCAGAGGUUCGAAGACGAUCAGAUACCGUCCUAGUUCUGACUAUAAACGAUGCCAACUAGCGAUCGGGAGGCGUUACCAUGACGACCUUCCCGGCAGCUUCCGGGAAACCAAAGUCUUUGGGUUCUGGGGGAAGUAUGGUUGCAAAGCUGAAACUUAAAGGAAUUGACGGAAGGGCACCACCAGGAGUGGAGCCUGCGGCUUAAUUUGACUCAACACGGGGAAACUCACCCGGCCCGGACACAGGAAGGAUUGACAGAUUGAGAGCUCUUUCUUGAUUCUGUGGGUGGUGGUGCAUGGCCGUUCUUAGUUGGUGGAGCGAUUUGUCUGGUUAAUUCCGAUAACGAACGAGACUCUGGCAUGCUAAAUAGUUACGCGACCUUCUCGGUCGGCGUCUAACUUCUUAGAGGGACUAGUGGCGCUUAGCCACACGAGAUUGAGCAAUAACAGGUCUGUGAUGCCCUUAGAUGUUCGGGGCCGCACGCGCGCUACACUGAAUGAAGCAGCGAGUGUCUAACCUAGGCCGAAAGGUCCGGGUAACCCGUUGAACCCCAUUCGUGAUUGGGAUAGGGACUUGCAAUUAUUUCCCUUGAACGAGGAAUUCCCAGUAAGCGCAAGUCAUCAGCUUGCGUUGAUUACGUCCCUGCCCUUU
rnacentral:rRNA from 1 species